rnacentral:rRNA from 1 species
UACGAAGGGGGCUAGCGUUGCUCGGAAUUACUGGGCGUAAAGGGCGCGUAGGCGGACAGUUUAGUCAGAGGUGAAAGCCCAGGGCUCAACCUUGGAAUUGCCUUUGAUACUGGCUGUCUUGAGUUCGGGAGAGGUAAGUGGAAUGCCGAGUGUAGAGGUGAAAUUCGUAGAUAUUCGGCGGAACACCAGUGGCGAAGGCGACUCACUGGCCCGAUACUGACGCUGAGGCGCGAAAGCGUGGGGAUCAAACAGG